ACACAAGUAACCUUAGGCGAUGGUAGAUUCAUGGUGUUCGGCGGUCGAGAUUUCCCAACAUACGAAUUUGUUCCUCUACAAGGCCAGAAAAACACCCUUAAGGAUGUGGUCGAUUUUAAUUUCUUGGUGGAAACACACGAUCCCGUGGAAAAUAAUUUGUACCCUUUCGUUUACCUUUCGACUGAUGGAAAUGUCUUCAUCUUCGCUAACAAUCGUUCGGUUCUUUUGAACCCUAACACCCAAACGAUCAUCCACGAGUUCCCAGUGCUCCCCAAUGGUGCUCGUAAUUAUCCUGCGUCAGGAAGUGCUUGCCUCCUUCCGAUCAUGCUCAAGCCUAAUGAAGAUCGUAGAGUGAUCCCCGCCGAGGUUUUGAUAUGCGGUGGUGCAUCACAUGAUGCGUACGCCAAGGCCGAUUUGCAGCGUCCUAAAGUGUUUUUGCCAGGGAACACCGACUGUGCUCGCCUUGAUAUCACCAAAAGGAAUGGCAAAUGGAAGAUCAUAAACAUGCCAUCAGCUCGUCUAUUGGGAGACAUGGCCGUUUUACCAACAGGAGAUGUGCUUAUUGUUAACGGUGCCAAGACUGGUUCAGCUGGUUGGGAUGAUGCUAGGGAGCCGAAUUUGAACCCUGUUUUGUACAAAUAUCAAACCGAUGGAACUGGUUCCAAAUUCACUGUGCUUAACCCAUCCAACAUCCCCCGCAUGUACCACUCCUCGUUCGCCCUCCUUCCCGACGCAAAAAUCCUCAUCGCCGGAAGCAACACAAACCCUGGUUACCUCGAUGAUGCAUUGUUCCCCACUGAAGUCCGGGUUGAGAAAUUCUCACCACAUUACUUGGACCCAAACUUGGCCAUGUUCCGACAAGAUAUCAUUGUUGACAAGUCCAAUAACCAAGUGAAGUACGGCAAAAAAUUCACAGUACAAAUCCGUGGAAAUGGCGAAAUUGACCAACAAAAGCUUCAAGUGACGAUUUACUCACCUCCGUUUGUGACCCAUGGGAUCUCCAUGAAUCAGAGAUUGAUUCAAUUGGGAAUUGUGGAAUUUAACAAAAAUGUUACCUCAAAUACAAACAACAUUAUUCUUCAAGCUCCCAUGAAUGGCAACAUUGCGCCACCUGGUUAUUACAUGCUCUUCGUAAACUACAAUGGGGUGCCUUGCCGCCAAUCGAUGUGGGUUCAAUUUUUGCCAUAGAUAUUUCACUGGAAGCAUUGAAUCGCAAAGCCGUUAUAUGAAAUUAUUAUAUUCUCUUAUAAAGAAAAAUUAAUGAAUCACUUUGUUCACGUUUUGUUGCACACAUUAUUCUUUUAAAGAUCAUAUACAAUACAAAAUGUGGACUAUUGGAUUUAUUUAUUUGCAAUUUCUUUUCUCCACUGAUUAGAUUUUUAUUAUAUAUAUUUAGAUUUUUUAUUCAAAAUUAAAUUUAUUUAAAAGUUUAAUAUCUAAAAUUGACUAAUGGAAAAAGAAAUAUUACAUGAUUUGUUUAUUUUCAAGAUUAAAUAGAAAUUCAUUUUGUAAAAUUAUAUAUAAAAAAAAAACAAAUCUUGAAUUUGAUUUUUUUCAUUAAAAGUUCUUACUGUUAGUGGUGUUCGCGAUUCUCUAGUGGAUUGCCUCGCAUUAAUACCUACAACUUCUCCCAAUUCAACUAGGUCACCAUGAGUGGGGCUUCGACAAUAUCAUAAUAGUGAUAUGUCUAAAUUGCAAGUUGAUAUGACAUUACUAGUAAUAAUAUGUUUGUAAUAUGAUAUUUUGGAAAUAUUAGAAUUGAACUUAAUUAAUUUAUCAUUUACUGUUUGAUCAUGAUUAAAAUUUUAAAAUUCACAAAGCAUAAGACUAAAAUUAAGGUGUGGGACUAAAUCCAUAAUUUAAAUAUAAUAUAGGGAUUAAUAGCAAAAUUUAACCUUUUAUUAACUAAUCUUCUUGUAAACACGGAGUGCUAAUAAAAAAAACCCAAAAUAUUUUUAUUAAGGUCAAAUUCUACUAAAUACUAUAUCGAUAUGAAAAGUUCAUAAUCUUAGUUGCGUCCCCAAUUCUCCAAUAGAUUGCCCCACAAUAAUACCUACAACUUCUCCCAAUUCAAUUACGUCAUUGUGAGUGGGGCUCUGACCAUAACAUAAUAGUGAUAUGUGAAAAUAGCAAGUUGAUAUAACAUUAUACAUAAUAAUAUGUUAGUAGCAUCAUGUUUUGGAAAUAAUAGAAUUGACCUUAAUGAAUUUAACAUUUAUUCUUUGAUCAUGAUUAAAAUUUUAAAAUUCAUAAAGCAUAUGACUAAAAUUAGAGUGUGGGGACUAAAUCCAUAAUUUAAACAUAAUAUAGGGACUGAUAGUAAAAUUUAACAUUUUAUUAACUAACCUUCUUGUAAACAAGGAGAGCUAAUAAAAAAAACCCAAAAUAAUUUUAUUAAGGUCAAAUUCUACUAAAUACUCUGCCAGUAUGAAAAGUUCCUAAUGUUAGUAGCGUUCCCGAUUCUCCAAUGGAUUGGCCCACAGUAAUACCUACAACUUCUCCCAAUUCAACUAGAUCACCUUGAGUGGGGCUCUGACCAUAACAUAAUACUGAUAUGUGAAUAUAACAAGUUGAUAUAACAUUACAUAUAAUAAUAUGUUAGUAGUAUCAUAUUUUGGAAAUAAUAGAAUUGAACUUAAUGAAUUUAACAUUUUUUUGUUUGAUCAUGAUUAAAAUUUUAAAAUUCACAAAGUAUAUGACGUACUAAAAUUAAAGUGUGAGGACUAAAUCUAUAAUUUAAACAUAGUAUAGGGACUGAUAAUAAAAUUGAACCUUUUAUUAACUAAUCUUCCUCUAAACAAGGAACUCUAUUAGAAAAAACCCAAAAUAUUUUUGUUAAGGUCAAAUUCUACUAUUUGUUCAUUAAAUCCAUUAACUAACUUUUUCAUGAGUGAAAUAUCAAGUUAAUAUAGCAAUACAAAUAUGAUAUAAUAUUUUGGAAAUAAAAAAAAUUAACUAAAUGAAUUUAAUAGUUACAGUUUAGUCAAGAUUAAAAUUUUAAAAAUGAAAAAGUACAGGGACUAAAAAUGAUCAAAUUAAAGUACAAGAGCUAAAUUCAUUAUUUACACAUAAUAUAGGGACUAAUAGCAAAAUUUAACCUUUUUAUUAACUAAACUUCCUCUAAACAAGGAACAAUAAAGGGACUAACAACAAAAUAUUUAACAUUUUACUAACUAAUCUUCCUUUAAACAAAGAGCAAUCACUAAUUUUCCCUAAAUUUCAUGCACUUCGAAUCGGGAAAAUGCAUAUAAAAGGAGAUGGAACCCAUUGUGAAAAAACCAAGCAGUAGAUCCAUAUAAUAAAAAAAGUUAGGUUAUAAGUUAUAUAGUUAAAUAAUAAAAUGAUGGCGUCGUUGUUUUGGAGAGGUCUUAUUAUAUUACCUCUCCUUUUUGUAUAUGUCAACGGCGAGCAUUUUUUGUACCCUAAACGUCAUGUUGGCAAAGCCGAGUUAGCCGGUUACAAGGGGCCAGACUCACUGGCCGUUGAUGGUGGUGGUUUUUAUAGUGGUCCCUUGAUUGCCGAUGACGAUGGAUCUGCUGCUGGCGGUAAUGCUGGUGGAACUACUGAGGUGAAGGUUGAAAACCUUGGAAAGGUCGACGGUGAUAAUACUAAUGGCAAUGCAAAUAGUGUCGAAUCAACUCAAGUUGCUGCCAAAAAUGGAAUUAGCAACGGAAAUAUUGUGGAGGCUAAAACUACGUUUAAAGGGAGUUGGGAAGUAUUUGUUGAGAACGCCGGUGUUUCCGCCAUGCAUUUGAUAUUGCUUCCUAAGAUCAACCAAGCUUUGAUGUUCGAUGCCACAGUGUGGAAAAUCUCAAAGAUGAAAUUACCGGGACCGCCGUGCCGACGUAUCGAGGGAACCAAUGAAGAAGAUUGCUAUGUUCAUUCGAUUCUUAUGGACGUUGAAACAGGAAAGAUUAGGCCACUUAGGGUACGUUUUUCUAAUUUUAUUUUGUUUAGUUAUUAUUAGAUGGACGGAGCCUCAAAGAGGAAAAAAAACACAAUUUUUUAUUUGCAAAACUCGAAAAUAAUUUGCUUUAAAAAGACAUUAAACUAGUUACAAUUUCUUACAAUUUUAUGUUUUUUUAACAUUUUCAUUUUCUUUGUUAUAGUUGAACUAUGACACUUGGUGUUCAUCGGGUGCCCUUGAUAUCAAUGGUCGAUUGGUAAGUACUGGCGGUUAUAACAAUGGCUCUGACACCGUGAGAAUCCUUGACUUAUGCGAUACUUGUGGGUGGGAAGAAUAUCCUGGUGCACUUGGAAAUGGAAGAUGGUAAGAACCCUAAACUUAUUACAUUUUUCAUUUUUUUAAUGAUUAAAAGCUUGAAUUUGAGUAUUUUGGUUUUUUUUUUAAAGGUACGCAACCCAAGUAACCUUAGGCGAUGGUAGAUUCAUGGUGUUCGGCGGUCGAGAUUUCCCAACAUACGAAUUUGUUCCUCCACAAGGCCAGAAAAACACCCUUAAAGAUGUAGUCGAUUUUAAUUUAUUGGUGGAAACACACGAUCCCGUGGAGAACAAUUUGUACCCUUUCGUUUACCUUUCGACUGAUGGAAAUGUCUUCAUCUUCGCUAACAAUCGUUCGGUUCUUUUGAACCCUAACACCCAAACGAUCAUCCACGAGUUCCCAGUGCUCCCCAAUGGUGCUCGUAAUUAUCCUGCGUCAGGAAGUGCUUGCCUCCUUCCGAUCAUGCUCAAGCCUAAUGAAGAU
rnacentral:lncRNA from 1 species